CUAUUUAUAGAAAAUCAUAAAUAAAAAUAAAACAAAAAUCCUAAAUCAUCCCUGCUAAAAACUUAUUCAAAUUCCUAUCAACAUAUAACAUGUAGUUGUAAGAAGAAUAUUUCGCCACUUCGUGAUAUGUUCUAGUCGUGUAUCAUUGUUACAGAUUAAUCAGUCCGCCAUAUUGUUCGAUUGUGACGCUCCGCCAUAUUUGUUCCUCUUAAUUUGGGCUUACUUCGUUUCUAAUUGCAGGAACACUCCCCCCCACGUUUUAUUGCUACUAUUAUAAAUAUCCACUAACCUUACAACAUUGUCUUUCGUACCAAUUUAGCCAUUAGCAUUGCAAGAUAUCUCCCUCUGUUGUUGCACAUUUGCCCAAGAUAUCCCUCACACAGUAUUGCACAUUUACCCAAGAUAUCCCUCACGGUAUUGCACAUUUGCCCAAGAUAUCCCUCAUGGUGUUUCACAUUUGCCCAAGAUAUCCACCAAGAUAAUGCACAUUUGCCCAAGAUAUCCCUCACGGUUUUGCACAUUUGCCCAAGAUAUCCCUCAUGGUGUUUCACAUUUACCCAAGAUAACCACCAAGAUAAUGCACAUUUGCCCAAGAUAUCCACCAAUACUCUUCAAGGAUGUGGUAAGGUGGGGGUAAUUUCACAUUUGGUGUUGAAAAAAGGUUUCGGGUUCGAUCCUGAGGGGUCUAGUGCGUGGAUUUCACGCUUGAUGCCUUAUCCUAAGCUAGUCGAGUUUAUCUCACUCGCUCAUGUUGGUCUUAAACUAAAACCUAAGAGACCUAAUGCACUUGUAAAUAUUUAAAUGUGCAAAUCCUAGCAAGAUACCCCCACUUACAAGCCACCAUUCUAACAGUCACCAGAAAUUCUUGGCAUGCAGUUUAAUGACACUAUAUAUACUUGUGUAAAACUACUGAGCAUUUUUAUAGAACGUACAUACACUUAUACCCCAAAGCCAUGAAUGGCACUUUGUACUUGCCUUUCAUCGUAACUAAAACACACAUAGGCAAUGAGUCUUAAGUUUUAAUAAAAUUUGAAAUAUCAAUAAACUGUGCUGUCUAUUUCAAAAGCUUGAGCAAUAUGGGUGCCCCCCUGUCCUUUCUUGCUAAGGCGUAUAGCCACAGCAAGCUGUUCAUUUCAGCAACAGUACUUAAAAAUGUUUUAUAAUUUGAAAAAUAACGG
rnacentral:lncRNA from 1 species